GUUUUUGUAAUCUGAAAAUAUAAAAACAGCAAGGUAACUAAUGAUAAAAUGAGCGUAAACGGUAUUGCAAUGCUAGGAAACAAGGCCUAGGGUUCAUACUUUCACUAGUGCAAGUUCUCUCAACAAUAAUAACAUAAUUGGAUCAUAUAAAUAUCCCUCAACAUGCAACAAAGAGUCACUCCAAAGUCACUAAUAGCGGAGAACAAACAAAGAGAUUAUGGUAGGGUACGAAACCACCUCAAAGUUAUUCUUUCUGAUCGAUCUAUCAUAGAGUUCAUACUAGAAUAACACCUUAAUACACAAAUCAACCAAAACCCUAAUGUCACCUAGAUACUCCAAUGUCACCUCAAGUAUCCACGGGUAUGAUUAUACGAUAUGCAUCACACAAUCUCAGAUUCAUCUAUUCAACCAACACAAAGAACUUCAAAGAGUGCCCCAAAGUUUCUAACGGAGAUUCAAGACGAAAACGUGUGCCAACCCCUAUGCAUAAGUUCACAAUGUUAUGGAACCCGCAAGUUGAUCACCAAAACAUACAUCAAGUUGAUCACGUGAUAUCCCAUUGUCACCACAGAUAAUCACAUGCAAGACAUACAUCAAGUGUUCUCAAAUCCUUAAAGACUCAAUCCGAUAAGAUAACUUCAAAGGGAAAACUCAAUCCAUUACAAGAGCGUAGAGGGGGAGAAACAUCAUAAGAUCCAGCUAUAAUAGCAAAGCUCGUGAUACAUCAAGAUCGUACCACCUCAAGAACACGAGAAGAGAGAGAUGGAACACAUAGCUACUGGUACAUACCCUCAGCCCCGAGGGUGAACUACUCCCUCCUCGUCAUGGAGAGCGCCGGGAUGAUGAAGAUGGCCACCGAUGAGGGUUCCCCCCCUCCGGCAGGGUGCCGGAACGGGUCUAGAUUGGUUUUCGGUGGCUACAGAGGCUUGCGGCGGCGGAACUCCCGAUCUAUUCUGUUCCCCGAUGUUUUUAGGUUAUAUGGACAUAUAUAGGCAAAAGAAGUCGGUCAGGGGAGCCGCGAGGGGCCCACGAGGGUGCAGGCGCGCCCAGGGGGUAGGGCGCGCCUCCCUGCCUCAUGGCUUCCUCGAAGCUUCCCUGACUUCUUCUCCAAGUCUCCUGGAUUGCUUCCGUUCCAAAAAUAACUCUCCCGAAGGUUUCAUUCCGUUUGGACUCCGCUUGAUAUUCCUUUUCUUCGAAACACUGAAAUAGGCAAGAAAACAGCAAUUUGGGCUGGGCCUCCGGUUAAUAUGUUAGUCCCAAAAAUAAUAUAAAAGUGUUUAGUAAAGCCCAUAAACAUCCAAACAGAUAACAUAAUAGCAUGAAUACUUCAUAAAUUAUAGAUACGUUGGAGACGUAUCAGCAUCCCCAAGCUUAAUUCCUGCUCGUCCUCGAGUAGGUAAAUGAUAAAAGAGAGAAUUUAUGAAGUGUGAAUGCUACGGGUGCACAAGUUUGAUCAAUGAUAAUUUCAAUCACCUUUUCUAGCAUCAUUAUAUAUCAUAACAGUAGCUCAUCUCAUAAAACUUUUCAUGAUCAAGUAACAAACUAUUCACAUGUUAAAGUAUAGAUCAUAAACUUUCUCGAAGACUAACAAACCGUGUUAUUAGUCAUCAAACAAUUACAAUUCAUCUUAUUUUCAGGAAGGGUCUAUGUCAGAGCUUUGAUUCAGCAAACUUCACAUACUCAACUAUCAUUUAGUCUUUCACAAUUGCUAACACUCACAUGAUAUUUAUGGGUUCAAAGUUUUAAUCAGACACAGAGAAAGAUAGGGGCUUAUAGAUUCGCCUCCCAACCUUUUACCUCAAAGGUAAUGUCAACAAUAAUAGUUCAUGAUGCCUUACAUCCAAUUGGAUAUAUAUAUCAGGAUCUUUCCAACACAAUGUGCUUGCCAAAGGAUAAAAUGUAAAAAGGAAAGGCGAAGAUCACCAUGACUCUUGCAUAAGGUAUAAGACAAGAAUAAAAGAUAGGCCCUUCGCAGAGGGAAGCAGAGGUUGUCAUGCGCUUUUAUAGUUGGAUGCACAAAAUCUUAAUGCGAAAGAACGUCACUUUAUAUUGCCACUUGUGAUAGGGACCUUUAUUAUGCAGUCCGUCGCUUUUAUUGCUUCCACAUGACAAGAUCGUAUAAAGCUUAUUUUCUCCACACUAAUAGAUCAUACAUAUUUAGAGAGCAAUUUUUAUUGCAUGCACCGAUGACAACUUACUUGAAGGAUCUUACUCAAUCCAUAGGUAGGUAUGGUGGACUCUCAUGGCAAUACUGGUUUAAGGGAUGUUUGGAAGCACAAUUAGUAUCUCUACUUGGUGCAAAGAAUUUGGCUAGCAUGAGGGAGAAAGGCAAGCUCAGCAUGUUGAAUGAUCCAUGACAAUAUACUUUAAUUCAGAUAUAAGAAAACAUAACCCAUUACGUUGUCUUCCUUGUCCAACAUCAACCUUUUAACAUGUCAUAUUUUAAUGAGUGCUCACAAUUACAAAGAUGUCCAAGAUAGUAUAUUUAUAUGUGAAAUCUCUCUUCCCUCAAUACUCUUUCAUGAAUUGUUCAAGUGACCAAUACAAUGUUUGCUAACCUUCAAUAAAUUUACCACCUAUACUUCUUAUAUGUGAAGUCAUUACUCCCCAUGGGGUAAGCAUACGAAACAUAUAAAAUUUCAGAUUUAUGAUAUUCGCUCAUUCAACUAUUUACUCAUAGGAUAUAAGCGAAGCACACGAGUAAAACUACUCCAAAAAGAUAUAAGUGAAGAUCAAUGAGUAGUUAAAUAAUUAUGUAGCUAUGUGAAGACUCUCUCUCAUUUAAGAAUUUCAGAUCUUGAUAUUUUAUUCAAACAGCAAUCAAAAGAAAAAAUGACAUUCUAAGAAUAGGAAACAUCACGUGAAGAAGCAAAAACUUAGGAUCAACCGAUACUAACCGAUAGUUGUCGAAGAAGAAAGGUGGGAUGCCAACUGGGGCAUCCCCAAGCUUAGACGCUUGAGACUUCUUGAAAUAUUAUUUUGGGAUGCCUUGGGCAUCCCCAAGCUUGAGCUUUUGUGUCUCCUUAAGUCCUCUCAUAUCACGGUCUCCCUAAAUUUCAAAAGCUUCAUCCACACAAAACUCAACAAGGACUCGUGAGAUAAGUUAGUAUAAACCAAUGCAAAAACCUUAUCAUACUUUACUGUAGAAAAUCAUUAAAAUUAUUAUUCAACAUUGCAUACUAAAUGUCUCUGCAUAUUUAAUAGUCACAUCCUCAAAUAGAAUCAUUAAAGAAGCAAACAUAUGCAAACAAUGCAAACAUAACAGCAAUCUGCCUAAACAGGACAGUCUGUAAAGAAUGCAGCAAGAUCCAUACUUCCCUAGCUCCAAAAAUUAUGAAAGAAAAUUCCCACUGUAUUAAAUUUAUCAGAGCUUAUUAUGCAAAAGGUUUCAACAUUUUAUCACAUUCUGACUUUUCUAGGGAAUUUUUGCAACAGCGGUAAACUUUCUGUUUUCAAACAGCAACAUGAAGACUUGUAAAAUAGGCAUAGUAAAGGCUAUCAAUGCCACUUUUAUUGAAAUAAAAGAUGCAAAACAUUGUUCUAAAUAACAGAAAGCAAAUCCUAACAAAAUAAAUUGACGCUCCAAGCAAAACACAUAUCAUGUGGUGAAUAAAAAUAUAGUUCCAAGUAAAGUUACCGAUGAACAAAGACGAAAGAGGGGAUGCCUUCCGGGGCAUCCCCAAGCUUAGGCUCUUGGUUGUCCUUGAAUAUUACCUUGGGGUGCCUUGGGCAUCCCCAAGAUUAGGCUCUUGCCACUCCUUAUUCCAUAGUCCAUCGAAUCUUUACCCAAAACUUGAAAACUCCACAACACAAAACUCAACAGAAAACUCGUAAGCUCUGUUAGUAUAAGAAAAUAAAACCACCACUUAGGUACUGUUGUGAACUCAUUCUAAAUUCAUAUUGGUGUAAUAUCUACUUUAUUCGAACUUCUCUAUGGUUCAUACCCUCCGAUACUACUCAUAGAUUCAUCAAAAUAAGCAAACAACACAUAGAAAACAGAAUCUGUCAAAAACAGAACAGUCUGUAGUAAUCUGUAUCAAACUUAUACUUCUGGAACUCCAAAAAUUCUAAACUAAAUUGGUGGACCUGAGUAAUUUGUCUAUUAAUCAUUUUAAAAAAGAAUCAACCUAAAAUCACUCUGCAGUAAAACAUGGCAGCUAAUCUCGUGAGCGCUAAAGUUUCUGUUUUUUACAGUAUGAUCAUAAAGACUUCACCCAAGUCUUCCCAAAGGUUCUACUUGGCACAAACACUAAUUAAAACAUAAAACCACAUCUAAACAGAGGCUAGAUAGAUUAUUUAUUACUAAACAGGAACAAAAAUAAAGAACAAAAAUAAGAUUGGGUUGUAUCCCAACAAGCGCUAACGUUUAACGCCCCUAGCUAGGCAUGAUGAUUUCAAUGAUGCUCACAUAAAAGAUAAGAAUUGAAACAUAAAGAGAGCAUCAUGAAGAAUAUGACUAGCACAUUUAAGUCUAACCCACUUCCUAUGCAUAGGGAUUUUUUGAUCAAACAACUUAUGGGAACAAUAAUCAAUUAGCAUAGGAAGGCAAAACAAGCAUAACUUCAAAACUUUAAGCACAUAGAGAGGAAACUUGAUAUUAUUGCAAUUCCUACAAGCAUAUAUUCCUCCCUCAUAAUAAUUUUCAGUAGCAUCAUGAAUGAAUUCAACAAUAUAACCAUGACAUAAAGCAUUCUUUUCAUGAUCUACAAGCAUAGAAAUUUUAUUACUCUUCACAUAAGCAAAAUUCUUCUCAUUCAGAAUAGUGGAGUAUCAUAAGAGACUCGAAUACUAUAAAUUGUUUCCACAUUAAAAGAGUAAUGUUCAGAAAAAUGGUAACCAUAAUCAUGCCAAGUUUUAUAAAUAUAAUCAUCACUACUUUUUAUAGCAUAAGUAUCAUCACAAUAAUCAUCAUAAGUAGGAGGCAUGCUAUCAUCAUAAUAAAUUUGCUCAUCGAAACUUGGGAGGCUAAAAAUGUCAUCUUCAUUAAACAUAGCAUCCCCAAGCUUGGGACAAACAUUAAUUGCAGCAAAUAUAUUCUCAAACAUGUCAUUCUCCUCAAACAUAGCAUCCCCAAGCUUGGGCCUUUUCAUAUCAUAAGCAUAAUCACUCUCAUCAUUAAUAGUAUGGAUAGCACCAAUAGUAUAGCAAUUAUCAUCAUCACAAUGAGUAAUAGGAGCAACAUCAUUUGGGAGGGAUACCUUUUCACCUUUGCUUCUCCGUCUUUUAUUUUUCUUCUUCACAUCAUGUGUGGGUUUAACCCUCUUUUUUGAGCUCCUUAUUAAUGAGAUUGGUUGAAUAGAAGGCUCCUCCUCGUUACCUGAUUCAUCAUAAGAAAAAAUAGGAGGAUAUUAGGAAGCCUCUUCCCUUUCAUUAGUAUUCUCUUCAUCCUCUAUUUGUUUUAUUUUGUUUAUGUAAUUGGAAAUAUAAGGAUUUUCAAUGCAAUUCACUGCACAAUACAUAAAAAUUUCUUCUAGAUCAAAAUCAAGAACUUUAUCAAGGACAAAUUCUGGAAGAUCCUUAGUUAUACGUUUCAUUUCUUCAUAACCCAAAAGCAAACUAAGUUCAUUAUGAUGUGCAAGGGAAAUCAAGUCAUCACAAUUUUUGGACACGAUUUGAUCAUGAAACAAAUAGCAUUGGAGCUUUAAAUGACCAUGUUCAUUGCAAAGUUCACAAGGAUGGCGAUAAAUAUUAAAUCUUUCAGCACAAUCAUCUAGCCUUUCUUGCAACCAUUUAGUUUCCAAAUACUUAUGCCUCUUGCAAAAUCUAUUUUCCCUAUUUGGUGUGUACUUGCAAGCUCUAUGUACUCCACAGAAAUUGACAUGCUUAUAAGAGACAUUUUCAUCAUGACUAAUGCAAUCAUCAUUAGUACUAUGGAUAUUCAAAGAGUUCAUACUAACAACAUUGCAAUCAUGCUCAUCAUUCAGGGAUUUAGUGCCAAACAUUCUAAUGCAUUCUUCCUCUAGCAAUUGAGCACAAUUAUCGGAAUCCUUAUUAUCAUGAAAGAUAUUAAAAAGAUGAAGCAUAUGAGGCACCCUCAAUUCCAUUUUUUUGUAGUUUUCUUUUAUAAAUUAAACUAGUGAUAAAACAAGAAACAAAAAGAUCCGAUUUCAAGAUCUAAAGAUAUACCUUCAAGCACUAACCUCCCCGGAAAUGGCGCCAGAAACUGCUUGAUGUCUACUACACAACCUUCUUCUUGUAGACGUCGUUGGGCCUCCAAGUGCAGAGUUUUGUAGGACAGUAGCAAAUUUCCCUCAAGUGGAUGACCUAAGGUUUAUCAAUCCAUGGGAGGCAUAGGAUGAAGAUGGUCUCUCUCAAACAACCCUGCAACCAAAUAACAAAGAGUCUCUUGUGUCCCCAACACACCCAAUACAAUGGUAAAUUGUAUAGGUGCACUAGUUCGGCGAAGAGAUGAUGAUACAAGUUCAAUAUGGAUGAUAGAUAUAGGUUUUUGUAAUCUGAAAAUAUAAAAACAACAAGGUAACUAAUGAUAAAAGUGAGCGUAAAUGGUAUUGCAAUGCUAGGAAACAAGGCCUAGGGUUUUGUAACGCCCGGAUAAUCAUGCUACAGUAAUCUCACGUUAAUGAUGGCACGUCACCUCUGUCACUGUAAUUAAUCUCGGGUUAAUUCAAAACCGUUUCAAAUUUAAAUCCUAAAUAAGUCAAACGACAAAAGUUUUCAAAUAUUAUAAUAAAAAUGUUCGGGCCAUGUCAAUUAUUGCAUCGGUAAUUAUGGUGAAGUAAACACAUUUUUAUAAAAUGCCUAAAUGCUUUUAAAUGAAUUAAAACAGAAAAGAAAAUAAAUAGAUAAAAAGAAAAUACAAAAGGGGAGAAACAAAC
rnacentral:lncRNA from 1 species